rnacentral:misc_RNA from 1 species
AAAUGCGAUAAGUAGUGUGAAUUGCAGAAUUCAGUGAAUCAUCGAAUCUUUGAACGCACAUUGCGCCCUUUGGUAUUCCUUAGGGCAUGCCUGUUCGAGCGUCAUCUAAACCUUCAAGCUCUGCUUGGUGUUGGGUGUUUGUCCCCGUCUCCGCGCGUGGACUCGCCCCAAAGUGAUUGGCAGCCGGCGUACUGGUCCCGGAGCGCAGCACAUGUCGCGCAAACGAGUGCCUUGGUACGGCGGCGUCCAUAAGCCCCUCUCUCACGCUCUUGACCUCGGAUCAGGUAGGGAUACCCGCUGAACUUAAGC